rnacentral:misc_RNA from 1 species
AAGUCGUAACAAGGUUUCCGUAGGUGAACCUGCGGAAGGAUCAUUAUAGUACAACGGAGGGCACCCUGGGCUGUCGCUAACCUUUGAGAAAAGGACGUGCACGCUCGGAGCGCUCUCUCACAUCCAUCUCACACCCCUUUGUGCAUCACCGCGUGGGGGCCCCUCCUCUUUGGUCUUGUUCCGGAUGGGCGGGGGGUUUCACGUUUUUAUACGAACAACCCAUUAAUGCAUGUGUAGAAUGUCUUACUUUUUGCGGUCACACGCAAUCAAUACAA